rnacentral:lncRNA from 1 species
UUUCUGUUAUUUUGAUGAACUUUCAUUUGAGCAACAAUGUUUCUGAGGUUUAUAUUGAAGUUCACCAUUCCUUGUAUACUACAGAUCUGUGGAAGUUUAAAAAAUUACUACAUGUGUUGGUGUAUAAAAAAACAUUUACCGGUAUCUAACUCCUGUUAAUUUUCAGAAUCUAUUUUUGCUAAUUCAUUUCAACUUUUCUUCGUGGUUGA